GCCAAUGGGCCAGUAUGGUGGUGUCUGUAGUCCCAGCUACUCGGGAGGCUGAGGUGGGAAGAUUGCUGGAGCCCAGGAGUUCUGGACUGUAGUCCACUAUGCCAAUCGAGUGUUUGCACUAAGUUCAGGAUCUAUAUGGUAACCUCCUGGAAGUAGGGGACCACCAGGUUGCCUAAGGAUGGGAGAACCGGCCCAGGUCAGAAACAGAGCAGGUCAAAACUCCCAUGCUAACUGUAGUGGAAUCACAUGUGUCAAUAGCCACUGCACUCCAGCCUGGGCAACACAGUGAAACCCUGUCUCU
rnacentral:SRP_RNA from 1 species